rnacentral:lncRNA from 1 species
GGUAUCAGAGCAGGUUCAGGAUUUCAAAAAAAAACAAAAAAAAGAAAAGAAAAGAAAAAAAGAGAAAUUCGGAAAAAAAAGUCUGGAGACCCAUCAAUAGAAAUUUUUCCAAAAUCAUCAUCUAUACCCUCCAAUACCCUUUCGGGUGAAAUUUGACGCUAUCAAAAAAAAAUUGACCCAAAAUUCCAAUUUUACCCCUGCACCCCGAAAACCUCAAAACCCU